rnacentral:lncRNA from 1 species
UUUAUUCAUCCUACUAUUGUUGCAUGCCUGCAAACCUAUGAGAUUCUUGACAGUAUCAUUUAUGCAAUUAAUAUUCAGUCUUGGCAGCCUCUGGAUUAAGCCUUUUGUCUUUUGCUGUACGCUCACUGAUGAUAUUGCUCAGGGCAGUUGACCUUGCGGAGGUCCCUUCCCUUGGUUUGACCACCACCUCGCAGCACCAGGUAUCAAGUGGAAAAGGAUAACUAGUGACCAGCGCAAAAGUGUUGUCGCCUUGUGAGAAUGAAGGUAAUUCACCUCGAGGAAAACCAAUGAAUAGGGAAAAUUUUAUGUGCUACCCAACAAGUAUCUGAUGCAUUUUGCAUGGGGUUUGUCAGCUCAUCCCAAAGAAGGUUAAUUAAACGUUCAAGCCACUGCAUCACCAACCUCCAAACGGUAUAUACUUUCUUCUGGUCUAAUAUGUUGAAAUGUUCAUGGUUCUUGACAAUCCAUAGUUUAAUAGCAGAGGUUAAUUAGUGGUGCCAUGGUUUUUGAGUAAGCUUACAGUUAACUUUGUUUCACUCAACAAUACAUGCAACUUCCACUGAUUUGCAGAUGCAUUAAACACACAACUCAUGUUUUCCUUCUGUAUUGAAAAUAUAUCUUCAAUCCUGCACAGUUAAAAGUUCCAUUAGCUUGGCAAGUGUCAGAAAGCAUCACUAAACAAUUUAAAUCAGGUUCCAAGUAGUUCUUAUCUCCCUUUAGUUGUGCAUUUUAUAAUACUUGAUUUUGAUGGUGAUUCACAGAUCUCCCUUUAGUUUUGCUUCUGUAUUUAAUGCAUGCCUUUAAUCUUGUGUGGUUGGGAAUUCCAUUAGCUCAAACAAUUAAAAUCAGGUUUCAAGCAGUUCUUAUGUCCCUGUAAUUAUGUGAUUUAUAAUAAAUACUAGACUUAUAUGGUGAUUCACAUAUGCAGUAAACACAACUCAUGUUUUCUUUCUGUAAAGAGAACAUGUCUUUAAUCCUAUACAGUUGAAAGUUUCAUAAGCUUAAGAAAUGAUAGAAAACAUCACACAGCAAUUUUAAUUAGGGUUCCAAGUAGAUCCAGUGUCCUCUUGGCUUUGCAUUUUAUAAUACUUGACUUUUGCCAUAAUUGUGUUGCUAGUUCUGAUGUACCCAUGGUUUUGCAUUUUCUAAUACUUGACUUUUGCUUUGGUCGAGACAUCACAGAUUUGUUUUUUUUUUUUUUUUCUAUAUAAAAGAUUUCUUUUUCUUUUGCAUCUUAGAGUCUUUUGUAUUAGUGCAUAGAGCAUGAAAGAAGGGUGACAUGGUCAUUUGCUUCCUUUACUAAACUUCAUUUCUUGCUAGUUGUUCUACGCAAACAUAAAUCAUAGAGAAACUGGCAUGCAAAUGAGGAAGAUUUUAAACACUUAACAUACCAAAGAAAAGAAAAUCUAGAAGAAAGAAUAGACUCAUUCCUUGACUUCUUGAUCAAUAUAUUAUACAUGAAAUUGGCACAUUCUAAAGUCGAUGGUCGACAAACUUAUAUGUCAUAGGUGGCUCAUGUAGCUUGGACUUGCUACAUGUUGCCUACGUUUAUGUUUGACUUUUGGUUGCUUCGUGGGCUUUUACAUAAGAAUGGAUGCAAUAUUCUUCUCCACUGCAGGCAUUAUUCAAUCGAUCAUCUCACAUGCAAAUAUAAGAGGUAAAACCUACUACAGGCAUGACUUAUGCAUUCAGGUUGACAGUACAUCAAUAGUUUGUUCUUUUUUCGUUUAAUUGCAUUACUUUGUUUAAACAAUUUCCAUGAAAGUGAAAUUUGCAGGUUAGAAGUUUCUGUGGUGCAAUAUAAUCCACAAAGCUCACAAGAUUUGAUGACAAGUCUUGCCCCAUUCAGUGAAAAUUUCAGAUUGUGUUGAUCAUCCAAGAAAAAUUAAGGUGAUUUGAGCUACAUAUAUGUCGCAAUCUUUUAAGUAUUACAUAACCUGCAUUUAACAUACUUAUAGUGGGAUUUACAGAUUUAUCGAGGACAAACUAAGAAGAAAUAUGUGUUGGAAAAUUAGCAGGUGACUCAGUAAAGCUUAUUUAGGUUACAAGAUGAUAAUUUUAGCUCAUCAAAUAUGUUACAAGAUUAAUUCAACUUAGGAAAGCCCAUAAUCCACAGAGGGAUUAUCCAUCACAAUGCCAUGAAAUAUGUGCAAUUUGUCUUAAUAUGGAGAUCAAUAUCCCAACCUGAUUCUGGUAAGAGAAAAAUUCUCAUGUUUGACUUUUUAGUAACCUGAGAGGUGCAAGUAUACAAAACUAGUCCUGAGACAUCCACGUAGUGUAAUUCCACUCGAACCAUCCUAAGAAAAUUCUUUCGAAACGCAUUUUAUAUUGUGGAUUGCAUCUUCUGAUAGGAAAAUGCAUGUCUCAGAAAUGGUCCAAUAAUUUUUAGUGAGCAUGAGAUCAUACAAAUAAAAAAAUAAGGGAAAAAAAUCUUGAUGUGAUCUUACUCUUGGGUUAUGAAGUUGACCCUGAUGAAAGUAAAAUGUCAACCCUAUCUUAAAAGGAGAAAAGAAAUAUGAGAGUUCAACGAACCAUAUCAAGGCUUUGACUUUUUCUCUUCAAUCUACUGAUUACUCCCAAUCUGAUCUUCUAACAGCUUCUUCUCCGCAUCCAAUCCCACUUUUGAUGGGAUGAGAUGUCAUCAACUAUUGUUCUUCU